GGCAGAGGGAGCCCGGUUCCCGUGCCCCGGCCCGGGCGGAGUGAUCCGGCCGGCAAGGGGCAUGAGGAAAGUCCCCCCACCGUCCGGGCAGGUGACCGGGUGCAAACCCGGAGCGGGAGACCGCUGGCGCUGGAACAGAAACGAGACCCCUCUCCCCGACCGAUGAGGCGCGCGAACUCGACGGGAGAGAACGGAUGGAACGGCGAACCCUCACCGGUGCAAGCCCGCGUGACAGGUAGCCCGGACACGACGCGGGCGCUCAGCCGAAUGCCGGGCCGAACAGAAGGGGGCUUACUCCCCUCAGCC
rnacentral:RNase_P_RNA from 1 species